rnacentral:rRNA from 1 species
AUUGAACGCUGGCGGCAGGCCUAACACAUGCAAGUCGAACGAGUGGCGGACGGGUGAGUAAUGUCUGGGAAACUGCCCGAUGGAGGGGGAUAACUACUGGAAACGGUAGCUAAUACCGCCUACCAUCGGCUGUGCCCCGAUGGGUGUAGCUAGUAGGUGGGGUAACGGCUAACCUAGGAGACGAUCCCUAGCUGGUCUGAGAGGAUGACCAGCCACACUGUAACUGAGACACGGUACAUACUCCGACGGGAGGCAGCAGUGGGGAAUAUUGAACAAUGGGCGCAAGCCUGAGCCAGCCAGGCCGCGUGUAUGAAGAAUGCCUUCGGUUUGUAAAGUUCGUUCAGCGAGGAGGCGUUACUCGCAGAAGAAGCACCGUCUAACUCCGUGCCAGCAGCCGCGGUAAUAC